rnacentral:lncRNA from 1 species
GUCCUGCUGUGGGAGCCUCCUAGGACUGCUGGUGAUCGGGGGAGAGCAGAGCCGGUGCCCACGGGAGGGUUCCACGUGGGAUGUAUCAACUUCACGGUGGCACAAGAGCUGCCUCUUCCAAGCCACCGUUCCCAGKGGAAUUCCAAGACACAGGCUCAGGCUACGCCAUUCCCUCUGUGCCCAGAGACAGAAGGUCCCUGCACAGUGGGUAGCGCAGCCCCUGGGCCUUGGGAAUCGAAAGCCAGGAUCAGAAUUUAUGUGACUCAUGACCCAGGUCCCCGGGAGACCCUCUGCUGGGGUGACUGGUAAGUACCCCCGGUUCAGGGCUCAAGGUCAGCGUUUCACAGCUGCUUCUCUUGGCCUUG